rnacentral:tRNA from 1 species
GGGGAUAUAACUCAAAGGUAGAGUAUAUCUGUUGCAAAGAUAAGGUUAGCGGUUCAAAUCCGCUUAUCUCCA